AUCCAGCUGACGAGUUCUAAAUAGGACGAAACGAGCAUCCUGGAU
rfam:Schistosoma haematobium scaffold651_14, whole genome shotgun sequence.